UUUCCGUAGGUGAACCUGCGGAAGGAUCAUUACAGAGUUCAUGCCCUCACGGGUAGAUCUCCCACCCUUGAAUAUUUAUACCUUAGUUGCUUUUGCAGGCCGUGGAAACACCAUGGGCUCCGGCUUAUGCGUGCCUGCCAGAGGAAACAAACUCUGUUUUUAGUGAUGUCUGAGUACUAUAUAAUAGUUAAAACUUUCAACAACGGAUCUCUUGGUUCUG
rnacentral:misc_RNA from 1 species